GGAAGUGAGGCAAGCGGGAGGAGCCGUCUGCUACCCGGCGACCAGCACUGGCCUGCUGGGGAACAUGAGUCCAGGCGGGCUGGGGUUAGAGCGAAUCACCCCAGUAGUCCCAGGAAGUGGAAACAUUGUGGUCCACAUCUUACAAAUGAGGAUACGUAGCUCAAAGAGGCAAGUGGACUCCUAAAUGGCGCUCUUGUCGGAGUGUUACCUGAAAAACUGGCUUUGCCUUUUGGUGGGUGUCAAGCCAGAAGACAAAGAGUGGGAGAAGGAAGGAUUUAUUACUUGCAACAAAUCAUUACUGAGACCUGUUGAAGGGCAAGCGUUGUGGCCAGGCUUAAAAUGACUUAGGCCAAAAAUGGCUUUUCUUAUGUCAAGAAAGCCAUGCCCAGGGGAUUCCCUGGUGGUGCAGUGGUUGAGAAUCUGCCUGCCAAUGCAGGGGA